AUUAAUCAGUUAUCGUUUAUUUGAUAGUACCUUUCUACUUGGAUACCUGUGGUAAUUCUAGAGCUAAUACAUGCGCACAGCCCCGACUUCGGAAGGGGUGUAUUUAUUAGAUAAAAAACCAAUGCCCUUCGGGGCUCCCUGGUGAUUCAUGAUAACUCAGCGAAUCGCAUGGCCUUGCGCCGGCGAUGGUUCAUUCAAAUUUCUGCCCUAUCAACUUUCGAUGGUAGGAUAGUGGCCUACCAUGGUUUCUACGGGUAACGGGGAAUUAGGGUUCGAUUCCGGAGAGGGAGCCUGAGAAACGGCUACCACAUCCAAGGAAGGCAGCAGGCGCGCAAAUUACCCAAUCCCGACACGGGGAGGUAGUGACAAUAAAUACUGAUGCAGAGCUCUUUCGGGCUUUGCAAUCGGAAUGAGAACAGUGUAAACACCUUAUCGAGGAACAAUUGGAGGGCAAGUCUGGUGCCAGCAGCCGCGGUAAUUCCAGCUCCAAUAGCGUAUAUUAAAAUUGUUGCAGUUAAAAAGCUCGUAGUUGAAACUUGGGCCUGGCUGGCCGGUCCGCCUAACCGCGUGCACUGGUCCGGCCGGGCCUUUCCUUCUGGGGAGCCGCAUGCCCUUCGUUGGGUGUGCCGGGGAACCAGGACUUUUACUUUGAAAAAAUUAGAGUGUUCAAAGCAGGCCUUUGCUCGGAUACAUUAGCAUGGAAUAAUGGAAUAGGACGUGCGGUUCUAUUUUGUUGGUUUCUAGGACCGCCGUAAU
rnacentral:rRNA from 1 species